UGAAGGGUGGCUGGCGGUAUGACUUGAUUCUAAAGGUCCUUUCCCAGAGCCAGGCAUAGUAGGUGCUCUGUGCUCCUUUCCCAGGAGCUAAGCUCACUGACACAGCCAACUCCCAAACUGAAUCACACUCAGAGGCAGUUCCACAAGCAAGGAUGGUUUAAUAUCUUUCAGCACAUGUGCACUUGACAAUACAGUAUGAAAAUGGAACUCUUUAUUAAAACAGCAAGGCUUAACAAUCACUGCCACUCAUAAAACACUUAAAAAAAAAAACAAGUAUCAAAAUCAGUGACUUUUGGCAAGACAACUCCAGCUCUCAGAGCCUGCUUCUCCAUCUGGAGAAUGGGCAGGCCGACGGCCACAGUUCACUGCGUGCAAGGUCCUCUGGGGGUAGGAGACGCCAGGUGGCACUCAGACCACACACACAGCAUGGCUGACACACCUGGCGAGCCGCUUGCUCCUUUUCCUGCCCCUUUUGCCACAUGAUUGCUAAGGAGAGAGUCUUGGGGUGGUGCUGCUUGUCGGAUGCCUGGCAGCGUUGGCACGGAGGUCCCCUCCCCAACGGACUUAUUUUUCACAGUCGAUUUCUAUUUUUGGCAGCGUGUGAUACAUAUUGUCACUUACUGGCAGCGGUCUAAAAAAGUUCCCUUUUUAAAGCAAAUUUAAGUUUGAAAAUGAGUCUGUUUAAAGGAAACUAUCUGGUAAACAACACAAAAUAUAGCAAAAAGUAAUAAUAAUGACAAUGGUAAGGAAACACUUUAUUAGGUGAAUUCAGAGUAUUUCUAACAUAUAUUGUGCAAUUUUGUGAUACUAAAGCAAGGUAUGAAGAAAUACAAUGACGUCGGGGUACCUUCCCGACUAGCCUGCAGCAAGGGGUUAACCUACUCAUCUCUUCCUCUUUUCUCCGUAGCUUAUAUAUAUGGUGGGGUGGGUGUUUUCUUUUUUUUAAGAAUUAAAAAAAAAGGAAAA